UCAGACCAUAGAUAAUAUAGAAGACAGCGCGCUAGCGGAUCUUGUCUCCUCCUAUAUAUAUCUAUGGUCGGAAUGUCUGGUAGCAUCUCUGGCUGCUGUUGAUCUUGUUUUUGGAGUAAAACACGGUGGAAGCUGAAUUAGUGAGGAUGACUCCUGCUCCUGUCAUCUCUAAGCUCCUCACACAUCUUUACCUGCACAUGAGGAAAAUCACUCCUGUAGAAUGCAGUGGUUCAUCAGAACCUCUGGGGAUGUCCUGUGGAUUCUGUGGAUCCUGUGGGUUGCAGGGUGGGUCCUACCUAGACCAGGCUGAUCCUGGACCAUCCCACAGAUGCUCCAUCAGAUGUGGAUGUGGGGAGUGUGGAACCCAGAUGUUCAGAGGGAGCUGAUGCCACAUCUGGUCCAGCCGAUGGAAGGUCUUGAAGUUCUCUGACUGGCCUCGACUGAAGAUGGUCGUCUCACUGGAUUUAAGGUUCAGAUGCUCAGUAACAAACUCCACCAAUGAGCCAACAGGGAAGCUUUAGGUUUAUUAAAUGUUGCUAUGAAGGUUUCGCUGUUUUUCUUUGUGAAUGCAAUGUGCUCCAACUGAAACUUGAAUUAGAACAUUGAAGUAAAUCCUUCCAUCUGAAAGGAUUUAGUUGCAUUAAUAACCUCAUAACAUUUUAAUUUUUAUUCCAGUCUUAGUUGGAAAUAGAAUCUCUGUAUUGAUUCAGGUAAAAACUGAACUUCACAGCAUGUUGGAGCAAAACAACCAGAUGAAAACUGUGAUGGUGUUGGAUUGUCAGACCGUAAUGUUGCAGCUCAAAGCAGCUUUUCUAUCUCAGUUCAUUCUGACAUUCAGCUAUGAAUCAACACAGCAGAUGGUGAUCCAUGCUGUGGAAGUCUCACAUCUCCUGAUUUAAUGGAGCUGCUUUGCACUUUUUACACUGUUUAUUCACCAACACUUUAUUUAAUAAAAGUCCCAUCUAGUUUUUAUGAGGAAUGUGAUGUUUUAAUUUCUCUGUGAAUAACUGCAGUCUAAUGCAACAGCUGGAGUUGUAACAUCUGUCCUGAUAUUGAUCAUGAAGUAUUGAUCAGAAUACUUAUGGUUAGCAGUCAUCCCUGAAGUUUUACAUUAAAAUCUUUACUUGUGUUGUGAACUUUGGUAAGAAGCAGAAACGUUAGCGUUGCCAUGGAUACAUGAGUGUUAAAUUCUGUCCAUGUUUCCAUUUUGGGAAAUUCAGUCCAGUUCCAGAAUGUGGAGGAAUUUAGUCUCACAAUCACAGACGACAAAUAUUAUCUGAAAGUCGGGUUAUUGUUGUUUAUCAGCACAAUACAAAAAGAUUCAUGUUAGAAAUAUUCCAGUUAAUACUCUAGAAUAUCAUGAUUUAUGUAAAUUUACCUCAAUAAUAUGAAGGUUCAGGUUAAGAUUGUGCAGUGAUAUUUAUUAUGUAAGUUUAACUGAUUAAAGUUUAUGACUCUGCACUAAAAUAUUAUUUAAAUUGACAUCAUUAUUAUAAUAUUUAGGGUCAGACCCUACAGUAUUGAGAUUAAGAAAUCAAAUAUUUUAGAAAAUGUAAAUACACUGAACUCAUUUGGAUGUAUUUAAGUGAGACUCUACAAUAUUAUUUGACACAAAUCUAUCUAAAUCAAAAUUUUAAUAAUUUUUACUUCAAACAUUUACUGGACUGAUUUAAACAUUAAAAUCACUCCUUUCUAAUCCUCUGCUGUAUGUUCAAACCUGAGGCCUGAAAUAGAAACACACAAGUAUCUGUUUGAAGGAACUUCUGCAGAGUCCUGGUUCCAGAACAUGAUGAUAGAAUUAUAGACAAACUUUAACAAAACCUGCCUGAGAGUUUACAGGUUUUUAUGUUAAAUUUCUUCAGUAAUUUAAUGAGAGUUAUCAGCAAUAAUCAAGUGUUCAUUUGAUGAACUUCAUUUCCUAAAACAUCCAGAAUUGGAGCUCAUAUCUUUGGCAGCUGUAAAGUUUCUGCUCCUUCAAAGUUCACAACACAACGAAUGAAUUCCUAAAACACUCUCAAUGCUGGAGAGCGUUUGUGAUGCUGAAGCAGUGACCAGUUUUUCUGUUUCUUCUCUGGAGAUGCACAAUGAGGGACGUCUGCAGAGACUGAGAAAGAGUCUCACCACAUCCUGGCAUGAGGAAAAAGACUUUAUUGAAGACUACAAUGAGAAAAACUAUCAGACAGCAGACGGCUGCAUUCAAGGUGAGCUCUGAACAUUUGAUCUGGAACAGGAAUUCAAUAACGGCAGCAUGAGCUUCAUUUCAGUCUGUAGCUGCUGAAUUCAUGGAUGAAUCAUCUGGCACUAGAGAGGAAGACCAUCAAACAUCCAUGUCAGCUGAUGGAGGUCCAAGAGUCUCACCAAACAAACAACCUACAGAGUGAAGACCUCAAAUCUGAUUGAACGGCCUCCUAUUCAGCCACGUGUGAACAAAUGCCUCUAAGUUGAUUUGUUUUCUAAAAUAAAUCUAGUUUGAGUCCUAA